rnacentral:rRNA from 1 species
AGAACGAACGCUGGCGGCAUGCCUAAUACAUGCAAGUCGAACGAACUCUUCGGAGUUAGUGGCGCACGGGUGCGUAACGCGUGGGAAUCUGCCCUUGGGUUCGGAAUAACAGUUGGAAACGACUGCUAAUACCGGAUGAUGACGAAAGUCCAAAGAUUUAUCGCCCAGGGAUGAGCCCGCGUAGGAUUAGCUAGUUGGUGAGGUAAAGGCUCACCAAGGCGACGAUCCUUAGCUGGUCUGAGAGGAUGAUCAGCCACACUGGGACUGAGACACGGCCCAGACUCCUACGGGAGCAGCAGUAGGGAAUAUUGGACAAUGGGCGAAAGCCUG